GGGUCACAAGUGGUACAUAGUGCUCUGAGUCUGUGUAAUUUAAUCUUCACAGCAGCAUUCUGAGGUGGGGACUCUCCUUAGCCCCAUUUUAUAGAUGCAGAAACAGACCUUUAGAGAAGUUAAGUCAAUUUGUCCACAGUCACAUGUUAGGCUCCUUUGUGGCAAUAGGGAGUUGAACCCAGCUGCUCUGACUCAGGUGCGGGGUGUUGUGCUGGGGUGUUGGAGAUGGAGAUGGGAACAUGGAUGCAGGAGCCACAUGGAGACAAAGCAAGACCAAGGGUGGUGGCUGGCUGAUCUUGGGGGAAGGGCAGAGUAGGAGGUGGUAGGGUUUGUAGCUUGUUGAAAGAGAAGGCACAAUUUUGGUGGCUGAAGUAGGGAAGGGGGAGGGGAAACCAGGGAGAGUGAGUGUGUGAAUUUAGAUGGUAUGUAUGUGGUUAUAGAGACUGAGGCCUGAGAUGUGCCAGGAGAUCCAGUAACACCCCUUCCUUUGUUUUAAGUCUUCCAUGCAUCGUCCCACUUAAUCUUUGAACCACUACGUGAUGUAGGAACUGUCCUUACCCCGAUUUAAUAGCUGAGGGAACUGGGGCCCAGAGAGCUUGAGUAAGUCAGUGCAUGAGUGUCACAGCCAGAAUCAGACUCCAGGCGGCCAAAUUCCUGGUCUGGGCCAAAGCAGACUGGGAACUAGAACUCAGUGGGGAGAUUGCCCCCUGGGAUAUAUUGUUGGAAGUAAUCUCUCCUUUUUUUAUUUUUCUGGGCACACCUGUGGCAUGUGAAAGCUCCCGGGCCAGGAUCAAACCUGUUCUACAGCAGUGACAACACUGGAUCCUUAACCAGCUGAGCCACCAGGGAACUCCUGCUCCCUCCUUUUGAACAGUUAUUGUCUGUAGUAUUCAUCUGGCAAUUAAUCAUGCAUUCCCCAUGACCUGCCUCUCCUUGCUGUCUGGAAAUGUGAUUUCCAUCACAUAUUGCUGUUCAACUUCUUGUACUGGGAAGACCACUGAGCCUGGAUAUCCUUCCUCCCAACCCCUAAGCACAUGCACCAUGGUUCCUCACAUUAGGGCUCCAUACAUGUUUGAAUGUCAUUUAAGGGGUCUCACCCUGGAGACGUUUAAGCAGGUGACCCUCAGGGAGGGGUAGGGAGAGGGAGGGAAGGCGGGGACAGUACUUAGGAUUGUGAUCACAUGGAUGUGGGAGAACCAAGAGAAGACUGAAGCCUAGAAAGCAUUCCUUUUGCACAGGUGAUGGAGAGACGGUGCAUCAGCCACCUGCAUAAGCUCUCCCUCCUACCCCACUGCCCCCCCGCGACCUUUCUCUAUGGACAUGUCCCUGUGACGUCCAGGUUGCACUAUCAGGGCUCACUUGACCACGUACUUCCCUCCUAACCAGGCGUUGUUCUGAGUGCAAGCAAGAAGCCAAGGGGUUUAGAUUGUGGGAGGCAGCGUGGCACUCUCAAUCGAAUUCUGACCCUGUGUCGCCAGCUGGGCUUUGUCUUGGGAACCUUUCCACAUGUCUACAUUUUCCCCUUUGCUGGAAGAGUGAGACUGAGAAGUAUUGGGUACCAUGAAGCAAGGGACUGUCCGAUGCAAGGACUGGGUGUCAGAGGCAAGUGGUCAGUCGCCUCACUUACUUGAGGCUCAGUUUCCUCAUCUGUAAGGUAGUGUUACUUACUUAUGUCGCUGUGGUGAGGCUGGUAAGAGCCUGGAUGGAAAUGCUUCAUCAGGACCGAGUGCCAAGCGGGGUCAGGGCUCCAUCCACGUGGGCUGGUCAUAGAACCGGAUGUCCUUGGGCGAGUGUCCAAAGGCCUCCCACUCUCUUGAACACCAAGGUGAAAGGCCAGUGUGUUCCUUUCUUUGCUUGGAUUUACGACACACGUUUCAUCACUUUGACUUUUUGACACUUUUCCUGGAUGAUUUGGUCCUCAUCGCCUGCUCUUCUCCUGGUCUCCUGAGGCACUUCCAAACCAUGUCAUUCCGCCCCCUGGAACAGGCACUGCCCCAUCCCCCCUUUCUCAGAAGGAAACGUGGCGGUCAGACGUUGGACCACGGCUGAGCCCUGUCAUCAUCCUCCUGUCUGUUUACCAAGUGUCCCAGGAGCUUCUGCUGACAAUUCCAGUUUCCACACGCAACAUUUGGGCAAUGGUGAGGGCUUCGGUCCCUUCUUUGGUUUGCUGUCAACCAUGAAUGGAUGGAUUUGAUGCCUGCUGGCCAAAAGGUGUCCCUCUGUGUGUUGCAGUCCUGUGGCAUUAUGCAUGCCCCCAGCCAGUGACCCCCCAGGCUUUUUAUGGCUGUGAGACACGUUAAAAGUUCAGGGUAAGUGAUGAGCAACACUCAUACUGUGGAUUACUUAAAGUUGACCUCCUGGAGUUGACUGGUGGCUCAGUGGGUUAAGGUCCAGCCUUAUCACUGCUGUAGUGUGAGUCGGUCCCUAACCCUGGGAACCUCUGCAUGCUGCAGCCAAAUCAAUAAAUAAGUAAAUGAAUAAAUAUUGCCCUCCACCUUGGCAGGUGACAUGUUAGUGGAUGCAGUAGUCUCUGGGAAGAUAACAGAAUGCCCGGUUAUCAAGCAUGAAUUCCACAGCCGACAGGAAUAGGUUUAUUGCCUUUCAUGAUAGCUUUAUGGAUUUCAAGAGUAGGAUUCAUACCAUGGAUGGUAUCUAGGGAAGGGUUGGCAAACUUGGUUUCUAAAGGGCCAGAUGGUAAAUACUGUCAACCCCAUGAGCCAUAGAGUUUUGUUUGUGGCCACCUCUGCUGAUGGAACCCAGAAGUAGCCAGGGACGAUAGGUAAACAGAUGGGCAUGACUGCAUUGCAAUAAAACUUUAUUUGUAAAAACAGGUCAUGGGCCAUGUUUGGCCUAAAGGCCUCAGUUUGCGGACACCUGAUCAAAGGGAGACAAGUGAUUUGUCAUCCAGGUACCUCACUAGGUAGCAGUCCCUCUGAUCUGGAACAAAUCGCGUAUUAAGGCGAAACAGGAAUUAAAAAAAAAUACUUGCCCUUACUACUGAGCUAGGAGUAGCAUGUAGUUACAAGAAUUAAAUAAGAUGUAAUGUGCGAGAAAGCUCGUUGAACAUUUCGAAACUCCUCACAGAUGGAAUGGGUGCACACUCUGCCGUCACUCUGGUUCACCGAGUGGGGUGAACCUUCUUCACCUUUUGAAUCACAUUGGCCUUUCUUGAGUGACAUGAUUGUGCGGGAAAGCACUGUGAUUUCCUAAGUCAUGUGGUUUGUAUGUGCAUUCCUUCUAUUGUUCAUUUGAUGGACAAGCUGUUGAAAUGUCUUUUUAGUAUCAAAUAUGGAUGAUACAGAUUGUGGUAGGCUACAGAUCAAAUGCCAAUGAAGAACUAUUAAAUUUCCUUUAAUCAUCAGAUCUUCCACCUUUAAAAUAGGCCUUGAUAAAUAGUAAUGUUUUGGAUGUCUACAAGUAUGUUUGAAUUUCACAAGUCUGGCAUGUCAAAACAGAGAGACAGGUUCAGCAAAUAUACUUCCCUGGGAUAGUGGUACUAAUUAAGGAGGAAAGUCAUGCUUAAACAAACAGCUUGGUGAAUAGAGGGGUAAUCAGAAUCCUAAUUCAUGAAUUUCCAAUAUUUUUUGACGGAACAGUAGAAUAGUCUUCAGAGAUGUUUUCAUGUCUUUACACCAUUGAAGAAUUGUCUGGUAACAGAGAUGCUACUGUAUAAGUUUAAAAAAUUAGCUGUGUAUUCUCUCUCAUAAAUGAUGUCUGUUGUGCUUUUUUUUUUUUUUUUUUUUUUUUUUGGGCUGCACCUGGGGUAUAUGGGGGUUCCCAGGCUAAGGGUCCAAUUGGAGCUGUUGCUGCCAGCCUACACCGAAGCCAGAGCAACACCAGAUCCUAUCUGAGCUGCAUCUGCAACCUACACCACAGCUUAUGGCAACGCUGGAUCCUUAACCCACCGAUCAAGGCCAGGGAUUGAACCCGAAACCUCGUAGUUCCUAGUUGGAUUUGUUUCCCCUGUGCCAUGACGGGAACUCCGUCUGUUGUGCUUUUUAUCUUUGUGCUCUGCCUGCUUGUUGAAGUAGUGCUUCAUCUUCAAGGUCACAUUGUGGCUACUGCCUCUCUGGCCAUUGCUUCUGCAUCCUGAAGAAGCAAAAGUACAGGGAACAAAGAGAGUAAUCUUCCUAGCUGAGGAAAGGCUCUUUAAAGAACUUUUCCUAAAGUCUUACUCAGUGGUUUCUACUUACAUCCUUUUAGCCACCCUUAAAUGUUAGAACAUAAGGCAUCUGGGAAUUGAUUGGCUCCUUAGCCUUGAGAGUUUGGAUGUCCCACAUAAAUUCCCAGUUCUAGUAGUAAUAAAGAAAAGGUGUAUGGUUAUUGAGCAGCAAUUGUGGUUACUUCCAUAAAAUUUUGUUACCAAUUUUUCUUAGGUGUCUAGUUUUUAUUUAUUUUGAUGAAUGCGUUCUUUCUUCCACUGAUUUGUGUGUAUCAUAUCUUUAUUGAAUCUUACAUGUUUGAACUUCAGCUUCUUCAGUUCUCAGCUGAGAUCCACAUCUCAGUAAAUAUUCUAGGACCGUAAUAUUCUUACUGAAAGUGCCAUGGCAAAUCUGAGAAAUACUUUGCUUUCUCAGGAGAGCAAUCAACCAAAAUUCAAACUCCCAAAUUUUCUAAUGGAUGUUCUCUUCUCUGGGUGGAAGAUUUUGUUAAAGCCUGAGGGCUAGUGUGAAGUCCUAGGACAUACAGGCCUGCACCCAGUUGUGUUCUUCCCAAUACGUGUGGGCAGUAUCAUGAUGGCUUUGUUGUGUCCCCCAGAGACUAGACAAUGCUAUUAUCCACUCUGCCUCUCUGAUUUGCUGCUAAGUGUCUCCUUAGCUUCCAGGAUAGGAGAGACCAGUGAGCCACUCCUGUCCAGUUUCUCUAUCCCACAUUAGCCUGUGAAAUAUUCUUGUGAAAUUUCUGUCUCACAGAAUGAGACUUCUCUAUGCUUCAUAACAGAGUCUCUGCCUAUACCAGCCUGUGAUAGAUGCUCAGGAGACGUGGUUGCCGAUGCAUUUCCAGACCUUUAUUGAAUGCCUGCUAUAGAUAGAGGAUAGCAAAGUGGAUAAGAGUGUCUGUAUUGAAGUGAAAUUGGCCUAGAUUCCAAUUCCACCUUUUCCAUUGACGGGCUGAGCGACCCUGGCUAAGUGACUUAACCUUUCUAGGCCAUGGCCUCCUCAUCUGGACAAUGGGGGAUACAAAUAGGAGCUAGAUUCCCAUAAAGAAUCACUGAGAUGAGGCUUGUAGGAGCUUGCGCAGUUCCUGGUAGAUAAUAAAUGCUGGCCUUGUGCUACACACACUAGGCGAUCUGGUGGAAAUCCUUGUCUUGGAGGAGUUUUUAACCACCCUCUGGCUGGUUCCUUGGUGGUUGUGUAGGCAAUGGAUAUUUCACUAUCCAUUGCUUCUCACCUGGUAUUCUGUGUAAGUAAAAAGCCCAAGGAGGUGGCUUUGCUGCCUGCCUUCAAGGACACCGCAGCCACGUACUUGUACAGCUGGACAGCCCUGCUAAUAGGACUUAGAUCUCUAGGUCCCGUUUGGACAAUUUCCCCUGAGAUGCAUGCGGUUCUUUUUUUAUUCUGUUUUUUACUUACUCAGACAAUGGCCCUGCCUAGCAAGCAGAAUUCACUAACUGCUUUCAAGUUGGUAUUGCUGAUGAUAAUCUGAAACUCAGUAAGGUUUCACUCUUGCGGGCUGACGCUACAUGAUGUCGCUCUUGCCAGCCUCAUCCCACUCCCUGCCUCUGUGCUGAGUCUGCAGAGCAGCCUCUGGUCCCCCACACGUCUUCCUGGGAAUGGCCCUCAAAGCACAGGGUCAUCUGCACAUAGAAGCUGCCACCUGAGUGGUGGAGAUUGUCAGUAUUGCUCAUAGAUGGCAUGGUUGGCCGUGUGUCCCAAAGAGUGAGAAGCAUUGAGCCCCACCACCUGUGCCGCAGCUUGCAGCAAUGCCAAAUCCUUAACCCCCUGCGUGAGGCCAGGGAUCGAACCUGCCUCCUCACCAAGACUACGUUGGAUCCUUAAUCCUCUGAGCCACAAUGGGAACUCUGGUUUCAGAUACUUUAAUUAGACCCCGUUCCCAGGUUCAGAUGCAGUAAAAUCUCGCCUGCCUUUGGACCAUGGGAUUCUCUGCCUGGAACCAUUUCUGCACAUCACAGGGCUAAUUCCUUCUCAUCCUUUUUGUUCAGUUCAAAUACCACCUUCUUGGGCUGGCCUUCCUUGACUGCCCGCGUUAAAAAUGAUAUCCCUCUUCCCCCUCCUCCCCCUCCUCACUAUUAGCCACUCAGGUCUUUUGUCUCUUUCAUUGACUACGGCUUCUGUCACUUUCUGAAUAUACCUGUUUACCAGGUAAUAAGCAAGGGGAAGGUCUGUCUGAUUCAGUGUGGCUUCCUCGUGGCUGACAGUGAAUAGUAGGCAUGCUGGCAGUCAGUAUUUAUUGAAUCAGGCAGCAGACAUUUGGGGAUUUCCCUGUGAAUUGCUCUAUUUCGUGGUACCUAAGAGAACUCCAUCUGGAUGAGAGAGUAAGAAAAGAAAGAAAACCAUACACAUCACCUUUAUUAUAGGAAUAGAAUGCCGCCCUUGGGCUUUCUCUGGAAAGUUUCCUCUCUGCGUUGGACAAGUCUCUGAUACUCCACGUGUCCCGUCCGGAAAGGCUUAUACAUCAUCUUCCCUGUGAACACAGAACGUUUGCCAUUUGGUUCUAAAGCGUAUGGUGGGUGGUACAAGUUAAUUAAGGUUGUUGGAUUUCAAGCCGAAAUCCCAGCACUCUCCUUCACUGGCUCUUUGUUCUUGAACAAAUGACUUCCUUUCUUUGGUCCUCAGUUUCCUUACCGGAGGCAGGGGAAACAGCGUUACCUGGCUCACAGUGUUAGUGCGGGGAUUAAAUGAGAUGAUAGGUAUUUAGUGCUUUGCACAGGAUCUGAAACAGAAUAAUAACACUAUUGAUUGAGAAAGAUGAUCAAAAGGGUAUUGGAAAUGACACUGACAAGACUCAAACUGCACUAUCUUGUAAAUCAUCGUUUGAAAAGUGACAAAGAUAGUGAAGAGCCUUGAUUGCCUUUUGUACUGCUCAUUUCAUGCACUGAAUUAACUUUAAAGAGUGCAGGUAGGCCUCCUUGCCUACCCGCUUGCAUCUUUCACAAGUGUCCUAUCUUAGUAAAUCUAUUUCUUGCUUAAAAAAAAAAAAAUCGUGGAGUGCAGAGUGAGCAAGCAGUGGAAUGAUUUAUAUUUGUUGAUGACAUGUUGAUUCUUGGAUGUUAGUGGUUUGUUUCAGAGCCACUUAUAAAUUCCAGUGCUGAUAUGGCUCAGUGUUUGGAGCCUGACCCACAUCCAAAAAACCUUGAGAAUUGGGAGUUCAGGGUCCUGCCCUGUCCUAAGCCACCUAACUGGAGAGGUCUUCCUUCUUCAGGUUGAUCAGAGCUGGUUUGAUCUCCUGCUUCACAAUAGAGUAUGUCUUAAACUCCCUGUAAAUCCUAAUUUUAAAAUACAUUGUGUCCUUAAUGUCUGUGUCCUGAAAAUUCACUUACCUCUUUUUGAAAGACAAUUCAAGUCUACAUAGAUUGAGAGGAGGUGGAUAUAAAUAUCUUUUGUUGUGAGCUCUGACUUCUUUCACAUGCUUAAGGCGGGAGGGUAUGUUACAGCUAUUACAUUAUAUUAAUACAGUUUGUGCCUGCUGGACCUGUUGUGUUCAGUGAGCAUUUUCUGUGUGAAUGCUGAAGCUCAGAGAGGGACUUACCUCUCUCUGGAUCCCCAGCUUUUGUGAUAAAAGAUGAAAUACAUUGUCACAUACUCUCGUUUCUGGCCUUUUAAAUUAGGAAAACAGAGUUCCCAUUGCGGCUCAGCAAUAACAAACCUGACUAAUAUACAUGAGGAUUCAGGUUCGACCCCUGGCCUCACUCAGUGGGUUAAGGAUCUAGAGUUGCUGGGAGCUGUAGUGUAGGUUACAGAUGGCAGUGUGGAUCCCGCAUAGCUGUAGCUGUGGUGUAAGCCAGCAGCUGCAGCUUCUAUUCGACCCCUAGCCCGGGAACGUCGAUAUGCCUCGGGUGGGGCCAUAAAAAAGACCAAAAAAAAAAAAA
rnacentral:lncRNA from 1 species